GACGAACGCUGGCGGCGUGCCUAAUACAUGCAAGUCGAGCGAAUGAAUGGGAGCUUGCUCCUGUUCGUUAGCGGCGGACGGGUGAGUAACACGUGGGCAACCUGCCUGUAAGACUGGGAUAACUUCGGGAAACCGGAGCUAAUACCGGAUAGUUUCUUUCUUCACAUGAAGAAGGAUGGAAAGACGGUUUUGCUGUCACUUACAGAUGGGCCCGCGGCGCAUUAGCUAGUUGGUGAGGUAACGGCUCACCAAGGCGACGAUGCGUAGCCGACCUGAGAGGGUGAUAGGCCACACUGGGACGGAGACACGGCCCAGACUCCUACGGGAGGCAGCAGUAGGGAGUCUUCCGCAAUGGACGAAAGUCUGACGGAGCAACGCCGCGUGAGUGAAGAAGGUUUUCGGAUCGUAAAACUCUGUUGUCAGGGAAGAACAAGUACCAGAGUAACUGCUGGUACCUUGACGGUACCUGACCAGAAAGCCACGGCUAACUACGUGCCAGCCGCCGCCGUAAUAC
rnacentral:rRNA from 1 species